UACGUAGGAGGCGAGCGUUGUCCGGAAUUACUGGGCGUAAAGAGCGCGUAGGCGGCGCGGUACGACGUGUGUGAAAGCCCCCGGCUCAACUGGGGAGGGUCAUGCGUAACGGCCGUGCUCUGAGUGCAGGAGAGGGAAGUGGAACUCCGGGAGUAGCGGUGAAAUGCGUAGAGACCCGGAGGAACACCAGUGGCGAAGGCGGCUUCCUGGUCUGCGACUGACGCUGUGGCGCGAAAGCUAGGGGA
rnacentral:rRNA from 1 species